AGUGAACGCUGGCGGCAGGCCUAACACAUGCAAGUCGAACGGCAGCACAGUAAGAGUUUGCUCUUACGGGUGGCGAGUGGCGGACGGGUGAGGAAUACAUCGGAAUCUACUUUUUCGUGGGGGAUAACGUAGGGAAACUUACGCUAAUACCGCAUACGACCUACGGGUGAGAGCAGGGGAUAUUCGGACCUUGCGCGAUUGAAUGAGCCGAUGUCGGAUUAGCUAGUUGGCGGGGUAAAGGCCCACCAAGGCGACGAUCCGUAGCUGGUCUGAGAGGAUGAUCAGCCACACUGGAACUGAGACACGGUCCAGACUCCUACGGGAGGCAGCAGUGUGGAAUAUUGGACAAUGGGCGCAAGCCUGAUCCAGCCAUACCGCGUGGGUGAAGAAGGCCUUCGGGUUGUAAAGCCCUUUUGUUGGGAAAGAAAAGCAGCAGGUUAAUACCCCGCUGUUCUGACGGUACCCAAAGAAGAAGCACCGGCUAACUUCGUG
rnacentral:rRNA from 1 species